AGAUAAUUCUUGUAGUCUUCCUGAGCUGCACACAGACAGCUAAGAAAAUUAAGGAGAUAUUGGGGAAUAUGGCCUGCUUCACAAACCAGGAGAACCCCAUCUUCUGCUAGCAAGGCAGCAGGAAGUGGAGACUUUUUUCAGUGUACUGGAAGGAGAAUCCAGCUUCCUCAUACUAAAGACUAGUGAUUUGCCUCCUAUCUCCCAUUCCCUUUCCUUUCUACAACAAAACACAACACCCAUUUUCAUUUGGGCUGCUGCUACCCUCUCCUCACACCUACUCCAAGUGCUCAGCAGACAGAGGAAAGGAGAUCUGCUGUUUCCUGCUGGGCUUGCACCUGGAAGGUUUUGCAACAGCUCUAAGUGCCAACACAGAGCCUGAAAGUGAGUGUGACCAACAAAGCCAGAGAUGAGAAAAGCACAAAAAGUGGGUCUCGACGUUAUUUCAGCCCCUGUAUCUCACCAUGCCUUUUCAGUCAUGUGAACCAAUAAAUGUCCUUUUUCCUUAUGCCACUUGAGGUCAGGUUUUCUGUUUUUGUUUGUUUUUUAUGAGCCAAAGAGAUCUAAACAACACAGCAGGCAAGUAGAGACAGACACUGGACUGUCUCUUUCUGGA